rnacentral:rRNA from 1 species
AUGUAUGGCACCGAGCCCAGUUUGGGUGCCACAACGCUCUGGGAUGACAAGCCGGCGCCGGUCCUCGACAACGAGCAGUGGGACUGGGGCGCGCACACCGCCCGCCUCCGCGAGCAGUUGCUGCAAGCUCAACGCCGUUUCAAGAAGAAGGCGGACCGCCAUCGCACGGAGCGAAGCUUCCAGGUCGGCGAGGAUGUGCUGCUGAAACUGCAUCCAUACGCGCAGUCCCCCGUCGUCAAUCGACCCUGCACCAAGCUGGCUUACAAAUUCUUCGGGCCAUUCAAGGUGGAGGCCAAGAUCGGGAUACUCGCCUACAAGUUGAUUCUGCCGCCGGACAGCCGCAUCCACAAUAUCUUCCACGUCUCCCAGCUGAAGCCGUACACACCCAACUACACACCUGUCUUCGCCGAGCUGCCCAAGCCGCCCGAUCUGUCCAUGGUCGAGACGGCUCCUGUGGAGAUCCUCGACAGACGCAUGGUCAAGCGAGGCAACGCGGCGCUGGUGCAAAUUCAAGUGCAUUGGAACUCCUCUUCGCCCGCAGCAGUGACAUGGGAAGACUACGAGACGCUCAAGCUUCGUUUUCCGACCGCCGCGAUCUGGCGGGGGGCGGCUGGAGCGCCAGGUGACGCUCCUUCUGAUGGAGGGGGAAAUGUCACACCUGCACCUACAAGUGCCACGGUGGACCUGGGUAGCCAAUAG